rnacentral:lncRNA from 1 species
AUAAGUACACCAUAUAACAAAUUAAGAUUAAAAACCAUGUAAUUCUAUUAGUUGGUGCAGAAAAAGCAUUUAACCAAAUUCAACACUCAUUUAUAUUAAAGACACUCAACCUAUUAAGAAUAGAGGGGAACUACUUCAAUUUAAUAAUGAACAACAAUAAAACAUCUAUAGCUAAAAUUGUACUUAAUGGUAAAUGACUUAAUGCUUUCCCCUAAGAUUGGGAGCAAGGCAAUGAUGUUCACUUUCUCUGCUCUUAUUCCACAUAGUACUGGAGGUUUUAGCUAUUGCAGUUGAGGCAUACAGAUUAGAAAGGGAGAAAUAAAAAUGUCUCUGUUUGUAGAUAUCAUGAUUAUCUACAUAGAAAAUAUAUUCCCCCUUAAAUGUAUACAAAGAAAAAAAGCACUGUAAAAUACUAUAAAAUGUUAUCGUGACACAUAAACUUUCAGAAUCAUUCAAUAAUAAGCAACAAUAAAAUAAAAUAAACCUUUAAAACUUAAUCAGCCAAUCUUGAGGGUCCUCUCUUUGGCUCUUCUCAUUUGCUUGCUCUGAUAAAUCAAGUUGAUAUGAUAUGAGUUGCUUCAUGGAGAGGGCAGAAGGUAUAGGACUGAAUCCUGCCAUAAAAUUAUGUAAAGGAGCUUGGAUACAGACCCUUCCCUACUGGAGCCUUGAGAUGAGACCAUAGCUCCAGCCAACUCCAUGACUGCAGCCCUCUGACAGAUCCUAAGUCAAAAGAUCCUGCUGAACCACAUCCAUACACUUGACCUACACAAGCCAUGAGAUAGUAAAUGUUGUGGGUUCAAGUCACCACAUUUUGGGAUGAUUUGUUAUGCAGCGAUAGAUAUCUAAUACAAUCUCUAUCUUUAUAUUAUUCAGGAAGUCAUUAAAGAAGCAACCCAUGGCAAAACUAGUUAUUUUCUUAAAACAGUAGGAAGAAGAAAAGCUUUUUGAAUGAAUCACUUCUCAUCUUCUCCGAAGUUGGAAGCAUCAAGAAUCUAAAUAAGCAUUUAUGAUGGCUGGCAUGAAUAUUUCUCUCCUUCAUCGUGCCUAUUUUAUGAACUUGAACAAGGAAGUUGCCACAACAUCUGUGGGCCAGAGAACUAUGCCAGAAUGUUAUUUCCAGAUUGCUUCCUGUAUUUACAAAGGUCUAUAGGUCCACUGAUACGGCUUUGCUACUCUACCCCGACACCCUGAGGACUAAUCUAUUAAUAGUAUGUACUUCUUAUAAUGAUGAGUGAGGCACAAAAGAGGAAGCAGAAACGUAAGAGACCUUCUAAAGCCUAUUCUCAGAACUGCCAUACUGUCGUUUCUGCCUCUGGCCAAAACAGGUCAUCAGGUACAAAGUCAAGAGCCCAAAGCCACAUGGUCCUAAGAUGAAGAAAGCCUGUGGAUUCAGGAACAGAUGAAUUUUAGGAGCCAACAACGCAAUCUACCACUUGCCUCUCUUAAGAAAUAUCAUUGUUUACCUAUGUGGCGGAAGAUAGAAUGGGAGUCCUAGUUGACCUUCAUAUAAUUUUUAGAAGAUGGAGCACUUCAACUUCUUCCACUCAUGAAAAGAGAGGUGACAGGUGAAGACAGAACAAGAAAACAAACCAAGAAUUUCCCCUCACCAGCCACCAGCUCUGCCAGCAACUUGAUCUUAGACUUCCCAGCCUCCGUAACGUCUUCCUCCUAAAAACCUGUAACCUCAAUCUAAUCAUGAGAAAAGACAUCAGGCAAAUCCCAACUGAGGGAGAUUUUACAUAGUACCUGAGCAGUACUCCUCAAAACUGUCAAGGUCAUCAAAAACAAAGAAGUAUGAAAAACUGUCACAGCCAAGAGGAACUUAAGGAAACAUAAUAAUUAAAGCCUCUGCUUAUAAUCUGUCAUGGAUUGGAAAACUAGAAAAAACAGUUUACAGAGUAUAACAAACUUUGGAGGAGUUAAUCGACUCUAAGUAAAAGAGUAUCUAGCACGGCUGUGGAACAAAGGAGAGACUCACAAACUGUUGAAAGAAUAAAUGAAUGAAUGAAUUCUGUUCAUGAGCUUUAAUAAAACAGCUCUGAGUAGUAACAGUGGAUCAAAUUUAGGCUUCUUGAUGCAGGCAUGGUGUAGAUUACUACUUCUGUAUUGUCCCAGGAGCUCAGCACAUUCCUGCAGAGAUGAUAGGAGCUCAUCUGAUACUUGUCAGCUUUGAAUAAACUCCAGUCCCCAAGAGAGAGAAUGAGAAUCACCGGAAUACGAAACUUCCCUGUUGGACUUCCCAACAUUCUUGAAUGCACCAAGAUAGCCUCUUGCUGUGAGAUUAAUAAAUGAAUAAAUGCCUCCAUAUUUUUCAAA